CAAGUUCGAGCGCAGGAAGCAAGUUGAUUCCCCUUUCGGGGGUGACGCUUGUGGAAUGAGCGGCGGACGGGUGAGUAACACGUGGGCAACCUGCCUGUAAGACUGGGAUAACCCCGGGAAACCGGGGCUAAUACCGGAUAAUACUUUCUUUUGCAUAAAGGAAAGUUGAAAGGCGGCUUCGGCUGUCACUUACAGAUGGGCCCGCGGCGCAUUAGCUAGUUGGUGAGGUAACGGCUCACCAAGGCGACGAUGCGUAGCCGACCUGAGAGGGUGAUCGGCCACACUGGGACUGAGACACGGCCCAGACUCCUACGGGAGGCAGCAGUAGGGAAUCUUCCGCAAUGGACGAAAGUCUGACGGAGCAACGCCGCGUGAGUGAUGAAGGUUUUCGGAUCGUAAAACUCUGUUGUUAGGGAAGAACAAGUACGAUAGUAACUGAUCGUACCUUGACGGUACCUAACCAGAAAGCCACGGCUAACUACGUGCCAGCAGCCGCGGUAAUACGUAGGUGGCAAGCGUUGUCCGGAAUUAUUGGGCGUAAAGCGCUCGCAGGCGGUCCUUUAAGUCUGAUGUGAAAUCUCGCGGCUCAACCGCGAACGGUCAUUGGAAACUGGAGGACUUGAGUACAGAAGAGGAGAGUGGAAUUCCACGUGUAGCGGUGAAAUGCGUAGAGAUGUGGAGGAACACCAGUGGCGAAGGCGACUCUCUGGUCUGUAACUGACGCUGAGGAGCGAAAGCGUGGGGAGCGAACAGGAUUAGAUACCCUGGUAGUCCACGCCGUAAACGAUGAGUGCUAGUGUUUAAGGGGGUUUCCGCCCCUUAGUGCUGAAGUUAACGCAUUAAGCACUCCGCCUGGGGAGUACGGCCGCAAGGCUGAAACUCAA
rnacentral:rRNA from 2 species